ACUGGAUAUCUGGAGAAGGGAAAGUUGGCUGAUGUCGAGGGGCUGAAGACGAAGGUGUUGAUCUGGACCAAAGUGACAUGUAUCUCGACUGAGGGGUCGAAGAUCCAUUUCACAACUGGGGUGAGGAAAACAAGGAGCAGAGAUGCCUAUGAAGUCUUAAGAGAUGGUAUUGAGGUCGAGAAGUUUUAGAUGUUUAAUUAUGUUUGCUUGUUCUGAGUGGUUAUAAACUGAUAAGUUAUAUACUUUUAUGAAAGUGGUGACAGG
rnacentral:misc_RNA from 1 species